GAGGGCAUAGCUCAGUGGUAAAGCACGUGCUUAGCAUGCGCAAGGUCCUGGGUUCAAUCCCCAGUACCUGCU
rnacentral:tRNA from 1 species